rnacentral:rRNA from 1 species
CGCAAGCCUGACGGAGCAACGCCGCGUGAGGGAGGAAGGCCUGUGGGUUGUAAACCUCUUUUCUCUGGGAAGAAGACCUGACGGUACCAGAGGAAUCAGCAUCGGCUAACUCCGUGCCAGCAGCCGCGGUAAGACGGAGGAUGCAAGCGUUAUCCGGAAUUAUUGGGCGUAAAGCGUCCGCAGGCGGCCAAUUAAGUCUGCUGUCAAAGCCUAGGGCUCAACCCUAGAUCGGCAGUGGAAACUGGUUGGCUAGAGUACGGUAGGGGUAGAGGGAAUUCCCAGUGUAGCGGUGAAAUGCAUAGAUAUUGGAAAGAACACCGAUGGCGAAGGCACUUUACUGGGCUAUUACUGACACUGAGAGACGAAAGCUAGGGUAGCA